rnacentral:rRNA from 1 species
CAAACUUGGUCAUUUAGAGGAAGUAAAAGUCGUAACAAGGUCUCCGUUGGUGAACCAGCGGAGGGAUCGUUACCGAGUUUACAACUCCCAAACCCCUGUGAACAUACCACUUGUUGCCUCGGCGGAUCAGCCCGCUCCCGGUAAAACGGGACGGCCCGCCAGAGGACCCCUAAACUCUGUUUCUAUAUGUAACUUCUGAGUAAAACCAUAAAUAAAUCAAAACUUUCAACAACGGAUCUCUUGGUUCUGGCAUCGAUGAAGAACGCAGCAAAAUGCGAUAAGUAAUGUGAAUUGCAGAAUUCAGUGAAUCAUCGAAUCUUUGAACGCACAUUGCGCCCGCCAGUAUUCUGGCGGGCAUGCCUGUUCGAGCGUCAUUUCAACCCUCAAGCACAGCUUGGUGUUGGGACUCGCGUUAAUUCGCGUUCCCCAAAUUGAUUGGCGGUCACGUCGAGCUUCCAUAGCGUAGUAGUAAAACCCUCGUUACUGGUAAUCGUCGCGGCCACGCCGUUAAACCCCAACUUCUGAAUGUUGACCUCGGAUCAGGUAGGAAUACCCGCUGAACUUAAGCAUAUCAAUAAGCGGAGG